rnacentral:rRNA from 1 species
GGUGGUGCAUGGUUGUCGUCAGCUCGUGUCGUGAGAUGUUGGGUUAAGUCCCGCAACGAGCGCAACCCCUAUUGUUAGUUGCCAUCAUUCAGUUGGGCACUCUAGCGAGACUGCCGGUAAUAAACCGGAGGAAGGUGGGGAUGACGUCAAAUCAUCAUGCCCCUUAUGACCUGGGCUACACACGUGCUACAAUGGUUGGUACAACGAGUUGCGAGUCGGUGACGGCGAGCUAAUCUCUUAAAGCCAAUCUCAGUUCGGAUUGUAGGCUGCAACUCGCCUACAUGAAGUCGGAAUCGCUAGUAAUCGCGGAUCAGCACGCCGCGGUGAAUACGUUCCCGGGCCUU